rnacentral:lncRNA from 1 species
CCCACACCGUUGUUUCAACACGGUUUUGAAGAGGGGUUCCUCCGCGGGCUCGGGAUUGGCGAUUGAUCUGCUCAUUGCAGAUCGGAGUUCUCCUCGCCGGAGAUGCCUGCACAGAGUCGGAUCUCUCUGCAAGGACAUGGUAUUGUUUCGGACUCGGUCAGAUUCUAUUGGAUUGCUGGUUGUGAUAGUUUCUUGAUUCUUGAUCUCAAUUUUGAAUUAUCUUCUUUGCUUUCCCUCUUCGCUUUCGACGUUGGAUUUAAUGGAAGGAAACGAGUGACUUGAAUGCUGCGCCGUAGAUCCGAGACGGUUUCUUCAUUGUGAAAUCUCCCGCUCCAACUCCCCUUAUCUUCUCUUACGUUAGUCUCUUGGUGUUGAUGUCGGUGUUCGGUGCUGAGAUUCUCUCUGUUCGAUCAUUUGAGGUCUUUUUUCGAGAUUUUUAAUAGGAGUUUGUUUAGAUCUGAGCUUCACAUUUUCUUUCUUAAGGGCGUUUGAUAGGAUUAAUUAUUUUUUGUUCGAUCUUUUCAUGUUUCUUUUCAAGAAUUACAAAGAGUUUGUUUAGUUCUAUGCUCCUCCUCUACUUUCUUUAGGGCGUUUGAUAGAACUAAUUUUUUUUGUUUGAUCUUUUGAGGUCUCUUUUCGAGAUUUACUAAUAAUUUGUUUUAGAUCUGAGCUCCUCCUUUUCUUUCUUUAGACUGUUUGAUAGAGCUAAUUCCUUUUAUUCUAUUCCUCGAGGAGGCCUCUUUUCGAGAUAUUCCAAACGUUUGUUUAGUUCUGAGCCCCUCCUUUUGUGUCUUUAGGGUGUUUGAUAGAAUCAAUUCAUUUUGUUUGGUAUUUUGAUGCCUCUUUUCUAGAUUUUCUAAGAGUUUAUUUAGUUCUUAGCUUCUCGUUUUCUUUGUUUACGGCGUUUGAUAAAACUAAUUAUAUUGAUGCUGUCACAUUAGUUGUCGGAUUUUGAUGGCUGCAGUACGCUGCUUUAUCUUCCUUUGCAGCCUUACAUAUCUUUGUUCAGUGGGUUUUCAUUCGAAAAUCCUUUCUUAUCUCUCCAACCACCAGUGCUAAAAUUUUGAACUAUUAUUACCAAUGAAAGUGCAAACAUUGGUUGAAUAAAAAUAGAGACAUAUGAAGGAUUCAAACUCUCUAAAUCAUCAAAGCUUGAGAUCCCAAGAAAGAAUCCAAUAUAUUUAUUAGUUUUAACACCUAUGUGAAAUUUCUUGACCAUUGAGUAAGACCUUCUACUGUCAGUAGCUUUGGAAUGGAAAGUGAUAAACAUGCCAAAGGCCUUCCUUCUUGUGAUUAGCAUCUUUAAGAUGCAUGUAACUUUGUGGGCUAUAUGGUAUGGGCAUCAAACCCUCUGCAUUUUUGGCAUUAUUUGAAGCAAUCAACUUACUGUUUCCACCUUACCUUUAAGCAACAUUGUUUAGAUAAACCAGGAGCAUCUUAGGGCAUGUUAACCACAGUAAAGUAGCAGUAAGGGAUCUGAAUCAGGAACAGGUUGGGUUCAAAGAACCAGGUGGCUGGAGAUUAGACUGUGUCUUAAAUAUUGAUAAUAGUGGGGCAAUAUAAACCAUUUUUUCUCUUGAAAAUAUUGUUGUUAUGUUGAUGCUCUUUAUGGGGUCACAUGACUGCUACAGGUGGGAGGAGUGUGUAAAUACGAAAGGCAGUAUGCCAAAGACUCCCUUUCAUGAAUGACAGUUUAAUCCUCCACAUAGCUCUAUAAAAUCUAUUAUAUAUAUGAUUAGAUAUUCAAGAAUAGAUAACAAUAUUAUUGAUCUUAAAAAGAAUAAUACACAAAUCAUCUAACCAAACAUUGCACAGAUAAUGUACGAGAUAACCGACCAUCGCUCUCGAGGGAGUGUUGGCUCAGCUCUCUGUGGCUCCGGAGGUGGACGAGGGAGGCGUCGAAGAAGAAUUGCCAUGGCUUUGAGACGCCAGCGACAGCGAGAACAGCCCAGCGAAAGGCCAAG